GGGGGUGUAGCUUAAUGGUAGAGCAUUUGACUGCAGAUCAAGAGGUCCCUGGUUCAAAUCCAGGUGCCCCUU
rnacentral:tRNA from 1 species